rnacentral:rRNA from 1 species
UGCGUAGGCAGACUGUUAAGUCAGAUGUGAAAGCCCCGGGCUUAACCUGGGAACUGCAUUUGAUACUGGCAAUCUAGAGUGUAGUAGAGGGGGGUAGAAUUCCUAGUGUAACGGUGAAAUGCGUAGAUAUUAGGAGGAAUACCAGUGGCGAAGGCGGCCCCCUGGACUAACACUGACGCUGAGGUACGAAAGCGUGGGGAGCAAACA